rnacentral:rRNA from 1 species
UAGGGAAUUUUCCACAAUGGGCGCAAGCCUGAUGGAGCAACGCCGCGUGCAGGAUGAAGGAUUUCGGUCUGUAAACUGCUUUGGAGCGGGAAGAACGCCACUUGGGUGAACAAUCCAGGUGGGUGACGGUACCGCUAGAACAAGACACGGCUAACUUCGUGCCCGCAGCCGCGGUAAUACGAAGGUGUCGAACGUUGUCCGGAAUAACUGGGCGUAAAGGGCGCGUAGGCGGUCGGGUAAGUGGGAUGUGAAAGCUCUGGGCUCAACCCAGGAAUUGCAUUCCAUACUGCUCGACUUGAGUUCGGUAGAGGAGGGCGGAAUUCCAGGUGUAGCGGUGAAAUGCGUAGAUAUCUGGAGGAACACCCGUGGCGAAGGCGGCUCUCUGGUCCGAUACUGACGCUGAGGCGCGAAAGCUAGGGUAGCAAAC